rnacentral:rRNA from 1 species
UGGGGAAUAUUGCACAAUGGGCGCAAGCCUGAUGCAGCCAUGCCGCGUGUGUGAAGAAGGCCUUCGGGUUGUAAAGCACUUUCAGCGAGGAGGAAGGUGGUGGACUUAAUACGUUCAUCAAUUGACGUUACUCGCAGAAGAAGCACCGGCUAACUCCGUGCCAGCAGCCGCGGUAAUACGGAGGGUGCAAGCGUUAAUCGGAAUUACUGGGCGUAAAGCGCACGCAGGCGGUUUGUUAAGUCAGAUGUGAAAUCCCCGGGCUCAACCUGGGAACUGCAUUUGAAACUGGCAAGCUAGAGUCUCGUAGAGGGGGGUAGAAUUCCAGGUGUAGCGGUGAAAUGCGUAGAGAUCUGGAGGAAUACCGGUGGCGAAGGCGGCCCCCUGGACGAAGACUGACGCUCAGGUGCGAAAGCGUGGGGAGCGAACAGGAUUAGAUACCCUGGUAGUCCACGCUGUAAAACGAUGUCGAUUUGGAGGUUGUGCCCCUUGAGGCGUGGCUUCCGGAGCUAACGCGUUAAA